GUCUUCUCAUUGAGCUCCGUUCUGUCUCUUGGUGGCAGUUUAUGGAUUCGCACGAGAAGAAGAAGAAUUCACAGAACUUAGCAUUAUUUUACCUUCUUUUUUUUAUGGAGGUAUAUUUGGCUGUUUUGUGAGACAUUC
rnacentral:snoRNA from 1 species